GAAUUACUAGGAAUGUGAGGGGACGGGGCAGGAGUGAAGUGAAGGAGAGGAAAAUGGUGGGGAUGAUGCCAGCGCCGAAUUCUCGAGUCAUGUUAUUGAACAUACUGAAAAUGAGCAUCAGUUAAAUUCAACCCAAAGGGCCAGUUGCUUCCGUCCAGCAAGGCAGUCAAGCAAGGCAAAUGCAGAAGCUGGGAAAGCUGAGGCACUGAGCCACGAGG